rnacentral:rRNA from 1 species
GGAACGAACGCUGGCGGCAGGCUUAACACAUGCAAGUCGAACGCCCCGCAAGGGGAGUGGCAGACGGGUGAGUAACGCGUGGGAAUCUACCCAGUUCUACGGAAUAACACAGGGAAACUUGUGCUAAUACCGUAUACGCCCUACGGGGGAAAGAUUUAUCGGGAUUGGAUGAGCCCGCGUUGGAUUAGCUAGUUGGUGGGGUAAUGGCCUACCAAGGCGACGAUCCAUAGCUGGUCUGAGAGGAUGAUCAGCCACACUGGGACUGAGACACGGCCCAGACUCCUACGGGAGGCAGCAGUGGGGAAUAUUGGACAAUGGGCGCAAGCCUGAUCCAGCCAUGCCGCGUGAGUGAUGAAGGCCUUAGGGUUGUAAAGCUCUUUCAGUGGGAAGAUAAUGACGGUACCACAGAAGAAGCCCCGGCUAACUUCGUGCCAGCAGCCGC